rnacentral:rRNA from 1 species
GUGGGGAAUAUUGGGCAAUGGGGGCAACCCUGACCCAGCAACGCCGCGUGAGGGAAGAAGGUUUUCGGAUAGUAAACCUCUGUCCUAUGGGAAGAAGGAAGUGACGGUACCAUAGGAGGAAGCCCCGGCUAACUACGUGCCAGCAGCCGCGGUAAUACGUAGGGGGCGAGCGUUGUCCGGAAUUACUGGGCGUAAAGGGUGCGCAGGUGGCCUGACAAGUCAGAUGUGAAAUACCGAUGCUUAACGUCGGGGCUGCAUUUGAAACUAUGAGGCUGGAGGGCAGGAGAGGGAAGCGGAAUUCCUAGUGUAGCGGUGAAAUGCAUAGAUAGUAGGAGGAACACCAGUGGCGAAGGCGGCUUUCUGGACUGUAACUGACACUGAGGCACGAAAGCGUGGGGAGCAAACAGGAUUAGAAACCCCUAGUAGUCC